CUACGGGGGGCAGCAGUGAGGAAUAUUGCACAAUGGGGGGAACCCUGAUGCAGCAACGCCGCGUGGAGGAUGACGCAUUUCGGUGUGUAAACUCCUUUUAUAUGUCAAGAAAAUGACGGUAGCAUAUGAAUAAGCACCGGCUAACUCCGUGCCAGCAGCCGCGGUAAUACGGAGGGGGCAAGCGUUACUCGGAAUCACUGGGCGUAAAGGACGCGUAGGCGGGUUGGAAAGUCAGGUGUGAAAUCCUACGGCUUAACUGUAGAACUGCACUUGAAACUUCUAAUCUAGAGUAUGGGAGGGGGAGAUGGAAUUAGUGGUGUAGGGGUAAAAUCCGUAGAUAUCACUAGGAAUACCUAAAGCGAAGGCGAUCUCCUGGAACAUUACUGACGCUAAGGCGUGAAAGCGUGGGGAGCAAACAGGAUUAGAUACCCCGGUAGUC
rnacentral:rRNA from 1 species